rnacentral:rRNA from 1 species
UACGUAGGGUGCGAGCGUUGUCCGGAAUUAUUGGGCGUAAAGGGCUCGUAGGCGGUUUGUCGCGUCGGGAGUGAAAUCCAUUGGCUUAACUGGUGGCUUGCUUUCGAUACGGGCAGACUGGAGGUAUGCAGGGGAGAACGGAAUUCCUGGUGUAGCGGUGAAAUGCGCAGAUAUCAGGAGGAACACCAGUGGCGAAGGCGGCUCACUGGACCGGAACUGACGCUGAUGCGCGAAAGCGUGGGGAGCAAACGGG